UGGCUGUCUUCUUUCCUUCUCGGU
rnacentral:piRNA from 1 species